AGAGUUUGAUCCUGGCUCAGAUUGAACGCUGGCGGCAUGCCUUACACAUGCAAGUCGAACGGCAGCACGGGAGCAAUCCUGGUGGCGAGUGGCGAACGGGUGAGUAAUGUAUCGGAACGUACCUUUCAGUGGGGGAUAACGUAGCGAAAGUUACGCUAAUACCGCAUAUUCUGUGAGCAGGAAAGCAGGGGAUCGCAAGACCUUGCGCUGAUUGAGCGGCCGAUAUCAGAUUAGCUAGUUGGUGAGGUAAAGGCUCACCAAGGCGACGAUCUGUAGCGGGUCUGAGAGGAUGAUCCGCCACACUGGAACUGAGACACGGUCCAGACUCCUACGGGAGGCAGCAGUGGGGAAUUUUGGACAAUGGGGGCAACCCUGAUCCAGCCAUGCCGCGUGAGUGAAGAAGGCCUUCGGGUU
rnacentral:rRNA from 1 species